UUAGGAAUAUUCGUCAAUGGGGGAAACCCUGAACGAGCAAUGCCGCGUGAGUGAUGAAGGUCUUUUGGAUUGUAAAACUCUGUUGUAUGGGAAGAACGACUAAGUUAGGAAAUGAACUUAGUGUGACGGUACCAUGCCAGAAAGCUCCGGCUAACUACGUGCCAGCAGCCGCGGUAAUACGUAGGGAGCAAGCGUUAUCCGGAUUUAUUGGGCGUAAAGCGUGCGUAGGCGUCUUAUUAAGUAUAAAAUCAAAGCCCGAGGCUUAACCUCGGUUCGUUUUAUAAACUGGUAAGAUUGAGUAUGGUAGAGGUAAAUGGAAUUUCUAGUGUAGCGGUGGAAUGCAUAGAUAUUAGAAGGAACACCAGUGGCGAAGGCGAUUUACUGGGCCAUUACUGACGCUGAGGCACGAAAGCGUGGGGAGCAAAUAGG
rnacentral:rRNA from 1 species